rnacentral:rRNA from 1 species
CAGCAGCCGCGGUAAGACAGAGGAUGCAAGCGUUAUCCGGAAUGAUUGGGCGUAAAGCGUCUGUAGGUGGCUUUUCAAGUCCGCCGUCAAAUCCCAGGGCUCAACCCUGGACAGGCGGUGGAAACUACCAAGCUGGAGUACGGUAGGGGCAGAGGGAAUUUCCAGUGGAGCGGUGAAAUGCGUUGAGAUCGAAAAGAACACCAACAGCGAAAGCACUCUGCUGGGACGACACUGACACUAAGAGACGAAAGCUAGGGGAGCAAAUGGGAUUAGAUACCCCGGUAGUCCUGUCUCUUAUACA